UUCAAACACCACCCUUGUGGUUUAGCGCAUUCUCACUGUAGUACCUUAUGGUUUAAACUGUAUCACUUUAGUAUCAUGUGGUUUCGUUUUUCUCUUUUUGUUAUCUCCUCCGUUAAUUUUUUGUUAAAUCAAUGAGAAAGUCAAAACCACAGGGUAUUAAAGUACAAAUUUCAUAAAACACAUAAUACUAAAGUAAAUAUUUGAUAAACAACAUGGGGUAUUCUGAAGUUUAUUUUCUAUAUAUUUUAACGGAGAGUUAAAGAAGGGGAUAACGAAAAGAAAAAAUGAAAGCACGGGGUACUAAAGUGAUGCACACUUUAAACCAUAGAGUAUUACAGUGAGAAAGCACUAAAUCAUGGGAAUAUUUGAAGUUUUUCCUUAAAAAUUUACAUAUAUAUAAACAUACUA
rnacentral:lncRNA from 1 species